AUUUAUAAGAAUAUGAUGUUGGUUCAGAUUAAGCGCUAAAUAAGGACAUGACACAUGCGAAUCAUACGUUUAUUAUUGAUAAGAUAAUAAAUAUGUGGUGUAAACGUGAGUAAUUUUAUUAGGAAUUAAUGAACUAUAGAAUAAGCUAAAUACUUAAUAUAUUAUUAUAUAAAAAUAAUUUAUAUAAUAAAAAGGAUAUAUAUAUAAUAUAUAUUUAUCUAUAGUCAAGCCAAUAAUGGUUUAGGUAGUAGGUUUAUUAAGAGUUAAACCUAGCCAACGAUCCAUAAUCGAUAAUGAAAGUUAGAACGAUCACGUUGACUCUGAAAUAUAGUCAAUAUCUAUAAGAUACAGCAGUGAGGAAUAUUGGACAAUGAUCGAAAGAUUGAUCCAGUUACUUAUUAGGAUGAUAUAUAAAAAUAUUUUAUUUUAUUUAGUUCCGGGGCCCGGCCACGGGAGCCGGAACCCCGAAAGGAGAAAUAUUAAAUAUUUAUAAUAAUAAUAAUAAUAUAUAUAUAUAAAUUGAUUAAAAAUAAAAUCCAUAAAUAAUUAAAAUAAUGAUAUUAAUUACCAUAUAUAUUUUUAUAUGGAUAUAUAUAUUAAUAAUAAAAUUAAUUUAUUAUUAUUAAUAAUAUAUUUUAAUAGUCCUGACUAAUAUUUGUGCCAGCAGUCGCGGUAACACAAAGAGGGCGAGCGUUAAUCAUAAUGGUUUAAAGGAUCCGUAGAAUGAAUUAUAUAUUAUAAUUUAGAGUUAAUAAAUAUAAUUAAAGAAUUAUAAUAGUAAAGAUGAAAUAAUAAUAAUAAUUAUAAGACUAAUAUAUGUGAAAAUAUUAAUUAAAUAUUAACUGACAUUGAGGGAUUAAAACUAGAGUAGCGAAACGGAUUCGAUACCCGUGUAGUUCUAGUAGUAAACUAUGAAUACAAUUAUUUAUAAUAUAUAUUAUAUAUAAAUAAUAAAUGAAAAUGAAAGUAUUCCACCUGAAGAGUACGUUAGCAAUAAUGAAACUCAAAACAAUAGACGGUUACAGACUUAAGCAGUGGAGCAUGUUAUUUAAUUCGAUAAUCCACGACUAACCUUACCAUAUUUUGAAUAUUAUAAUAAUUAUUAUAAUUAUUAUAUUACAGGCGUUACAUUGUUGUCUUUAGUUCGUGCUGCAAAGUUUUAGAUUAAGUUCAUAAACGAACAAAACUCCAUAUAUAUAAUUUUAAUUAUAUAUAAUUUUAUAUUAUUUAUUAAUAUAAAGAAAGGAAUUAAGACAAAUCAUAAUGAUCCUUAUAAUAUGGGUAAUAGACGUGCUAUAAUAAAAUGAUAAUAAAAUUAUAUAAAAUAUAUUUAAUUAUAUUUAAUUAAUAAUAUAAAACAUUUUAAUUUUUAAUAUAUUUUUUUAUUAUAUAUUAAUAUGAAUUAUAAUCUGAAAUUCGAUUAUAUGAAAAAAGAAUUGCUAGUAAUACGUAAAUUAGUAUGUUACGGUGAAUAUUCUAACUGUUUCGCACUAAUCACUCAUCACGCGUUGAAACAUAUUAUUAUCUUAUUAUUUAUAUAAUAUUUUUUAAUAAAUAUUAAUAAUUAUUAAUUUAUAUUUAUUUAUAUCAGAAAUAAUAUGAAUUAAUGCGAAGUUGAAAUACAGUUACCGUAGGGGAACCUGCGGUGGGCUUAUAAAUAUC
rnacentral:ncRNA from 1 species